rnacentral:lncRNA from 1 species
CUCCGUGCCCACUGACGACUGUUCGUUACUCUUCAUGGUCUCCGUGAUACAGAUGAAGAAACAGGCUCAGAGAGUUUGCAGUAUUUUCUCAGAUUCUCAUGGCUGACAUCUCAAUUUGGGUUUCCCCCAGAGCAGAUGAACAAGGAUUUAAUUGCAGGCUUGCUUGUUCCUUUAGGUCUUUACUGCAUCAUUCCAGAGAGACCUUCUGUGCCAUACGCUACAGUUCCACCCCCUCUUAUGCCGCUUAGCACUCACCAUUGCCCAACAUAGGAGCUGUUUUAUGUCUUCCUCUUGAUUCUCACUGUUUCCUGCUUUGGAGCAUAAGCUGGACAGAGAAUACCAUCGGAGCUCCUCUGGAACAUGUCCUUGUCUUCUCAGAGUGUGAAGUGUGUGUGUGACAGUGCUUUUCUGAGGACUCAGGUGACCUGGAGGCUGGAGAACAGCAUGGAGCAAGGAAAACAAAGACGAUGUGCUGGAGUGUAUGUUGCUUUCAUAAUUAUGUGAAAGAAAAUGUAGAGAAAUUUGAAAGGAGAACUGGUUAUCAGUAGUGCCAUCCUGCUCAAAUAUCUUCAAAUACACACCACCAUCCAUGUGUGGGUUGAUUAAGGAGCUGACGUUCAUUAGAUCUGCAGUCUCCUGACCUGAUGUGCAUCAGAAUCACUGGGAGAACAAACAAACAAAAAUGAAUCCAAAACAAGCAACGAACAGACAGAUUCUCAAGUCUUGCCAAGUCCAAAGAUUGAUUUGGUGGAGAAAUUGUACUUUGAAAGCUGCCCAGUGACCUUGAUCCUGGGAAAGCAGGUGCCAUGGACGGAGAGGGAGGCCAGAAUAUAAGUCACCAGGAAAAAGUGCCACUGCUGCAAACUCUCCCAACACGCCCAACCUCAUCACCGGGUUAUGAGGAGAGUGAAUCUCAGAUGAAAAUCCACCACCCCAUGCUGUGUCCAGCCAUGCUGGAGCCUGAGCAAAAGGAAGAAUGUGUGCCUCUGUGUACCUUUAUUAAUAGUUAAUAUUUAUAUUAUUAUAUCAUUAGUAUAGAAUAUCUUUUUUUUUUUUUUUUGAGAUGGAGUCUUGCUCUGUUGCCCAGGCUGGAGUGCAGUGGCAUGAUCUUGGUUCACUGCAGCCUCCGCCUCCCGGGUUCAAGCGAUUCUCCUGCCUCAGCCUCCUGAGUAGCUGGGAUUACAGGCACCCACCAUGAUGCCCGGCUAAUUUUUGUAUUUUUAAUAAAGAUGGGGUUUCACCAUGUUGGUCAGGCUGGUCUUGAACUCCUGACUGCAGGUGAUCCACUUGCCUCGGCCUCCCAAAGUGCUGGGAUUACAGGUGUGAGCCACUGUGCCCAGCCUCAUAUAUUAUCUUUUAUAUUUACUAUACAUUAUAAAUAUGUAUUAUAUAACUGAUUAUAAAAAAU